ensembl:lncRNA
GGCGCAGGGGCGGACCGGCUUCGCUCGGGAGGAGAAAGCGCAGCUGGGAUGCGGAGGGGCCAAGGCCUGGCUCCUGCUCCCCGGGGAUUACGCGAGUUGUGAACCUGUACCUGGUUUGUCCCGCGGGCUGCGCAGAGGGCGUGUAGAAUCCAGGCACAACCCCCCAACUCCACGCUCCUUCCUGCCUGGGAGGAGUUGCUGAAGAUGUGUGUCUACUUUCUCCCUCUCUCGAACCGGGAAGUGAGUUCCUCCUCCCUAGGCCCUGCAGCCUCAGGACUGCACCACCUCUUCGGAGCAGAGCUGUGCGGCGUGCUUCCAUAAUCCAGUCAAUGACCACGAGAUGCUGCACCUUCCUUCUGAUGGGAAGGCCACCUACUCACUUCCCAUUCUCAGCUCUUACCUUUGCUGCCACCUUCAAGGAAGUGGAAACCUUUGUACUUUGCCCUGCCAAACCUCAAAUCCCCAAUGACCACCGAUGCCCUCCUUCCGACACUCCUAAAGUGUCAGUCUCUGGUCUGUUUCCCUCUUUGGAGAGGGGUCUGCAUCCUAGGCACCAAGUCACUUACAAGCUUUCCUCUGCUCUGUAUCAAGCCGCCUCCCCUGCCCUCCAUCACUCAAGUAGAGUGCAGGCCCCGGCACCCCCAGCCCCAGCCGUCUCCCCCUCCAUUCUCUUGGCUCCCAUUCAGUGAAAUUGCAUUUGCUAGUCACUCCUGCUGUCUCCUGCCCUUACCAAAGCCAGAGGACAUUUUGCUUCCCAAUGCUAGCUCACUCCAAGAGUGCUUCUUGCUCAUUAAAAUGUCCUCUUCCCUCGGCCUACUGCUUUUCCACUGUCCUGUUUUACCUAGUGUCUGCCCGGAAUGAUCUCUAAGAGUUUUAAAGAUCUCAUCUUACUCCACAAAUUCCCGUGUAUGAUCUAAUCUGCCGCCAAUACUCCAAUCAAUACAUUUCAGAUUUACACUUCUGCUCCUUGCUAUCUCUGAGUUCGAAUUUAUCUAGUUCCUCAUUUAGCUUCUCCCCUUGUGUAUGUCACCACCUCUCAAAUGGUAAAGCAUCCAACACAUACUCACUCUGCUAUCCUUCUACCGGUCUAGGAUGCCCAGGGUACCGCCAUCCUGCUAGUCUGUCUCAGUCCUGAUUCCUAAGUGCCGCUAUCUUUAUUCACCUCCAACUGGCUAACAUUAGGAAUAUAAGUUUCUUUUUCUUUUUAACUUUUUGUGUAACUUAGUAAGCAUUUUGUGUGACUUGGAAUAAUGUGAUGCGUGUAGCAUAAAAAUUAGCUGCCUGGCAACUCUGAAAAGAGCUAGGCCAGAGAAACAGAGUCAGGCCACCAGACAGCUCAAUUACAAGCCAAUCCCAGCACAGGCCUUAAUAAACUAAUGAACUAACCCCAAGAUAGCUAGUUGGUAUUCGAAGGUGAACUAGUCCCAAAUCGUGAGUCCCAAUAGCACAAGACUGCAGCCCAACGAAAUAGAAACUUGGAAGACUGCGAAUGGCCUCUAGGAUCCCACUGCUAUGCUCCAGACACACAGUUUCUCCAGCCUCUGUGUGGAUCCCAUCAGCAAGAGGACUUGAGACAGUGUGUGGCCCUGGCCUCAGUGACCUUUGACCCACACGGGUCUACCCUCUUGAGUACCUCCAUCAGUGCCGUCCUCCUAGCCUGCCACAGCUGAAGGACUUCGUGGCAGAUGAGAGUCAAGCCCGCAAGCUUCCAAAGCGUCCUUAAUGGAGAAGAUUCCACACUGGUGCAGGUGCCCACAGAGUCCAGAAGAGGGCGUUGAAUCCCCUGGGGCUGGAAUUCAGGCAUUUGUGACAUGGGUGCUGGAAACUCAAUCUACAUCCUCUGCCAAGGCAGUACUGGCUCUUAACCUCUGAGCCACCCCUGCAGCCUCUCUGGUUUCCUUUGCCUGGUUCCCUAGGAGACAGCUCCAUUUAGAGUGCAUAGUGGGUAGCAGCACCCACCCUCGAAGUCCACCUGGCAAAGAAAGCACAGCAAGAAACCUUCACACCUGUUCUCAAAAUUGUACAAUCCAAAAAGGGAGACAAAACAAUUAAAUGAGUCCGCUCCUCAGAGCCAUUCUUCUACCCACGAUGGACCCAGAUUCUUCUACCCAUGAUGUGGCUUCAGUCUUUGCCUUCAAUUUCUGGCUUUCUAGUUCCUUCACACUAUCAAUGAAGAUGAAAGUGACACGCAUUCUCAUUCCACCAGAGAAAACAGCCAUGCUGCAACUGGGCAGGAGGAUGCGGUUUAGUCCCGUGGCCAGAAACAAGUGGCUUCAGAGGUACAUGAUCCAACUGGAGAGGAGACCCGCAGAGUAGGGCCAACAUUGCAGCAAGAAAACUGGCACACACUUUUGGAAAGCUCUGGUCAUGUUUGCAGAAAGUGGGGCUGCUUAGACACAUGUGGAAAAUGGGCUGGUAAGGUCCCGAGCUUCCAAAUGGAAGCAUCUGGGAUGUUAUAAUAAGGAAUAGGACCUUAUAGGCAGUAGAUGGUCCCUGAAGUUUUCCAUGGGGAAUGAGUUGAUCAAGUCAUAACCAAAACCUAUACAGAGUGAGAUAAAAUAAGGCCAAGGCUGUGAUUUUGUUUUUUCCAAAAGAGCAAAUUAUUUUGCUGGAGAAGAAAGAGGGAGAGGGAAAUGGAG